UGGUGGAGAUGUCGCGCCCAAGGCCUC
rnacentral:piRNA from 2 species